AUAACUACCUAUUUAGCAAAAUAAUGCAAAAGACUUAGAAUCUUAAUAAUCC
rnacentral:tRNA from 1 species